GGAACAUUUCGUAGGUACAUAUGUUCAUCAUCCACUCCUCUGUUGGGUACGAGGAGAGUCAACUUGUCUACUUUUGAUCGGAAGUAGUCAUAAAGAAGAGGAGGGAAAGAUGAUUCAGCAUUUGUUAGGUGGUGUGACUCUACCUUACUCUCUCAUCUGUACCACGGGAUCUGAAGGUUCUGAGAGGGAGAAAUGGACCUGAAUACUGAUGGUCCAUGCAUGAGCGAGAGCAUGACUCCCCUCCUCUAUAGUUAUAGAUUCUGCCAUCUGCAUUCUACUUGGGAAAGAAGGACUUUUGGUUCAGUUUCAGAUGUCUUUUGCAUCCACACCAGCUUCCAGAUACCUGCAGCUAGAGAAUUACCAAAGGAGAAAUCCAUUUAUGGAGAGUUUCUGAUAGUUGAAGGCAAGAAAUUAAUAUUUGGUGUAAAUUUGGUUGAGCCAAAGGAUAUAUGAAGGAAAUUAAAAAUCAGGAAGCAGAGAACAAGGAUCAUUAAUGACCUCCGAAUCUUGCUCUUCUCCUUGAUGUGGAAACUUUACUAAUUGGAAGAUUCAGAUUUUAUGGGGAUUCUUCAGAACUCAGAAUGAGGGUGGGUUCUGCUUCAGUUUUCUUUGCUUCUUCCUGGUGGCUAGCAAUAUUAGCAGAAUG
rnacentral:lncRNA from 1 species